rnacentral:rRNA from 1 species
UACGGAGGGUGCAAGCGUUGUUCGGAUUUAUUGGGCGUAAAGCGAGUGUAGGCGGUUUGACAAGUCGGAUGUGAAAUCCCAGGGCCCAACCCUGGAACUGCAUCCGAUACUGUCAGGCUAGAGUCCCGGAGAGGGUGGCGGAAUUCCCGGUGUAGGGGUGAAAUCCGUAGAUAUCGGGAGGAACACCAGUGGCGAAGGCGGCCACCUGGACGGUGACUGACGCUCAGACUCGAAAGCGUGGGUAGCAAACAGGAUUAGAUACCCCAGUA